CCCUAGUAACUGCGAGUGAAGCGGGAAAAGCUCAAAUUUAAAAUCUGGCGGUCUUUGGCUGUCCGAGUUGUAAUCUAGAGAAGUGUUAUCCGCGCUGGACCGUGUACAAGUCUCCUGGAAUGGAGCGUCAUAGAGGGUGAGAAUCCCGUCUUUGACACGGACUGCCAGGGCUUUGUGAUGCGCUCUCAAAGAGUCGAGUUGUUUGGGAAUGCAGCUCAAAAUGGGUGGUAAAUUCCAUCUAAAGCUAAAUAUUGGCGAGAGACCGAUAGCGAACAAGUACCGUGAGGGAAAGAUGAAAAGAACUUUGGAAAGAGAGUUAAACAGUACGUGAAAUUGCUGAAAGGGAAACGCUUGAAGUCAGUCGCGUUGGCCGGAACUCAACCUUGCUUUUGCUGGGCGUACUUUCCGGUUGACGGGUCAGCAUCAAUUUUGACCGUUGGAUAAAGGUUAGGGGAAUGUGGCAUCUUCGGAUGUGUUAUAGCCCUUGGUCGCAUACAACGGUUGGGAUUGAGGAACUCAGCACGCCGCAAGGCCGGGUAUUUUACCACGUUCGUGCUUAGGAUGCUGGCAUAAUGGCUUUAAUCGACCCGUCUUGAAACACGGACCAAGGAGUCUAACAUGCCUGCGAGUGUUUGGGUGGAAAACCCGAGCGCGUAAUGAAAGUGAAAGUUGAGAUCCCUGUCGUGGGGAGCAUCGACGCCCGGACCAGACCUUUUGUGACGGAUCCGCGGUAGAGCAUGUAUGUUGGGACCCGAAAGAUGGUGAACUAUGCCUGAAUAGGGUGAAGCCAGAGGAAACUCUGGUGGAGGCUCGUAGCGAUUCUGACGUGCAAAUCGAUCGUCAAAUUUGGGUAUAGGGGCGAAAGACUAAUCGAACCAUCUAGUAGCUGG
rnacentral:rRNA from 1 species